rnacentral:rRNA from 1 species
AUUGAACGCUGGCGGCAGGCCUAACACAUGCAAGUCGAGCGGAUGAAGGGAGCUUGCUCCUGGAUUCAGCGGCGGACGGGCGAGUAAUGCCUAGGAAUCUGCCUGGUAGUGGGGGAUAACGUCCGGAAACGGGCGCUAAUACCGCAUACGUCCUGAGGGAGAAAGUGGGGGAUCUUCGGACCUCACGCUAUCAGAUGAGCCUAGGUCGGAUUAGCUAGUUGGUGGGGUAAAGGCCUACCAAGGCGACGAUCCGUAACUGGUCUGAGAGGAUGAUCAGUCACACUGGAACUGAGACACGGUCCAGACUCCUACGGGAGGCAGCAGUGGGGAAUAUUGGACAAUGGGCGAAAGCCUGAUUCAGCCAUGCCGCGUGUGUGAAGAAGGUCUUCGGAUUGUAAAGCACUUUAAGUUGGGAGGAAGGGCAGUAAGUUAAUACCUUGCUGUUUUGACGUUACCAACAGAAUAAGCACCGGCUAACUUCGUG